rnacentral:lncRNA from 1 species
AUGAAAAAGGAAUUCAUGACACCUGUAUUUUAUUUUCCAGUUGCUCACAGGGUGCAUCCUUGGACAAGUCACUUAGAUGCCGAUCCUGAAAGGUUUUCAAGGCUUCCAUUAAUUCCAAAGACAUCUUUAAAGGGAUGGUUAUCUGCCAGCACAACAGGAGCUGCUGCAAUUUGUUCUUGUUCCGGUAUUACUGCUCGUACAGAUAAUGAAUCUGCACCAGCAGGCGAUGAGCAGCUUCAGAGAGGUAUGAUGAAAAAUGAUAAUCAUCUUUCAUUUGUUUCUGGAACUUCCUUGUAUGCAAUCACAUGGGUGUGGGGACUUUCACAAAGGAAUGUGCACUUGGGCAGGGCUGUACUGCAACAGUUGCAAUUUCACUCUGAAACUUAGGGAAGAAGUAACCCUGUUGCUGCUUUGCUGUGUUAUAAUCUCUUAUUCUGACUAUCUAACUUGUCCAUCAGCAAUUUACAACCUACGCAUUGCCAGCAUGCAACCACUGCUGGAAAUACAGCUUUGUGGGAAGUCCAUUUAUAGUUCACCUCUUCAAAAACACUCAAAGCACAGAAACAUACUGAACUCAGAGCAAAAACAAAACAACAAUAUAUCGAUCCAAUAAAUGAAAUGGAUGUGUUCAUUUUUUCUUUUUCUUUUAAAGUUGUGGAGUUUCAGUGUGCCCUUGAGUCUUUCUCCUACUGCCUUGUAAGGGAAUUUGUACUCCAGGAUGUGGAUCAAGCCAAUCCCCAAUUUACCACCCAAGUAACAUGUUUUUUCCUAUCCUUGCUUGCAUUCUCUCCUAUAACAGUUUGCAGGCAAUUUUGCUGUAGAGUCUCCAGUACUCUGGCAAAUAAUAAUGCUGCUGAAACCAAAGCUCUAUUAUGAGGUGGUAUGUUGCUGCUCUUCACCUGGAAUUCAAGAUGUGAGUUAACAGCGACCAUCCAUUCCUUUCACACAUCACUGUGAGAGGAGGUUGUCUGCCAAGUUUAGUGUCUUAGUUUCUUGACCUGUACCAAACUUCUUAGGAAGCUGUCUUUAGUCUCGCAAAGGUACUCCUAUAUUAAAAUGAGUAACUUUUUUCUAUUAAUUUAAUUAUGCUUUAGGAAACCCUUUGUUUAAGUGUCUGAUCCAGGAAAUUGCAACAAGAAUAACAACACAACAACAAAAAAUUCAGUAAUAGUGAAA